GGUGGCUGGACUUGGGUGUCCGUGAGCAUUGGCGAGUCCCAUUCAGUUUCAUCGGUGAUGCCCGGUCUGCAUGGCGAAGACAGCCUGGGAGAGUAGCGCUGUGUGGUCUGCGGUCACGUGGGAGCUGCCAGCGUAAGCGGCGGAGUUGGCUGGAUGCAGGUGUCUGUGAGCAUGGGUGAGUCCCACUCUGCCUCAUCAGCGAUGCCCAGUCUCCAUGGUGAAGACAGCCCAGGAGAGUAGCGCUGUGUGGUCUGCGGUCACCUGGGAGCUUCCGGCAUAAGCGGUGGAGUUGGCUGGCCGCGGGUGUCUGUGAGCAUCGGGGAGUCCCAUUCUGCCUCAUCGGCAAUGCCCAGCCUGUGAGGCGAAGACAGCCUGGGAGAGCAGCGCUGUGUUGUCUGCGGUCACGUGGGAGCUGCUGGCAUAAGCAGUGGAGUUAGCUGGACGUGGGCGUCCGUGAGCAUGGGUGAGUCCCAUUCUGCCUCAUCCGCGAUGGCCGGUCUGCAUGGCGAAGAUGGCCGGGGAGAGUAGCGCUGUGUGGUCUGCAGUCACGUGGGAGUUGCCAGCAUAAGCGAAAUGACCAGAACACUGAUUUCCAAAGGUGACGUGUUAUACGCAAACAACGAAUCAUGGAACACUACAUCAAAAACUAAUGAUGUACUGGGUGAGAGGAGCAAGAU